rnacentral:rRNA from 1 species
UACGUAGGGUGCAAGCGUUAAUCGGAAUUGCUGGGCGUAAAGCGUGCGCAGGCGGUUUUGUAAGUCUGAUGUGAAAUCCCCGGGCUCAACCUGGGAAUUGCGAUGGAGACUGCAAGGCUAGAAUCUGGCAGAGGGGGGUAGAAUUCCACGUGUAGCAGUGAAAUGCGUAGAGAUGUGGAGGAACACCGAUGGCGAAGGCAGCCCCCUGGGUCAAGAUUGACGCUCAUGCACGAAAGCGUGGGGAGCAAACAGG